GGGUUGUGAGGUUAAGCGACUAAGCGUACACGGUGGAUGCCCUGGCAGUCAGAGGCGAUGAAGGACGUGCUAAUCUGCGAAAAGCGCCGGCGAGGUGAUAUGAACCCUUGACCCGGCGAUGUCCGAAUGGGGAAACCCAGUGCAAUCCGUUGCACUAUCGUUAACUGAAUACAUAGGUUAACGAGGCGAACCGGGGGAACUGAAACAUCUAAGUACCCCGAGGAAAAGAAAUCAACCGAGAUUCCCCCAGUAGCGGCGAGCGAACGGGGAGCAGCCCAGAGUCUGAAUCAGCUUGUGUGUUAGUGGAAGCGUCUGGAAAGUCGCACGGUACAGGGUGAUAGUCCCGUACACGAAAAUGCACAGGCUGUGAACUCGAAGAGUAGGGCGGGACACGUGGUAUCCUGUCUGAAUAUGGGGGGACCAUCCUCCAAGGCUAAAUACUCCUGACUGACCGAUAGUGAACCAGUACCGUGAGGGAAAGGCGAAAAGAACCCCGGCGAGGGGAGUGAAAAAGAACCUGAAACCGUGUACGUACAAGCAGUGGGAGCACCUUCGUGGUGUGACUGCGUACCUUUUGUAUAAUGGGUCAGCGACUUAUAUUCUGUAGCAAGGUUAACCGUAUAGGGGAGCCGAAGGGAAACCGAGUCUUAACUGGGCGUUAAGUUGCAGGGUAUAGACCCGAAACCCGGUGAUCUAGCCAUGGGCAGGUUGAAGGUUGGGUAACACUAACUGGAGGACCGAACCGACUAAUGUUGAAAAAUUAGCGGAUGACCUGUGGCUGGGGGUGAAAGGCCAAUCAAACCGGGAGAUAGCUGGUUCUCCCCGAAAGCUAUUUAGGUAGCGCCUCGUGAACUCAUCUUCGGGGGUAGAGCACUGUUUCGGCUAGGGGGCCAUCCCGGCUUACCAACCCGAUGCAAACUACGAAUACCGAAGAAUGUUAUCACGGGAGACACACGGCGGGUGCUAACGUCCGUCGUGAAGAGGGAAACAACCCAGACCGCCAGCUAAGGUCCCAAAGUCAUGGUUAAGUGGGAAACGAUGUGGGAAGGCCCAGACAGCCAGGAUGUUGGCUUAGAAGCAGCCAUCAUUUAAAGAAAGCGUAAUAGCUCACUGGUCGAGUCGGCCUGCGCGGAAGAUGUAACGGGGCUAAACCAUGCACCGAAGCUGCGGCAGCGACGCUUAUGCGUUGUUGGGUAGGGGAGCGUUCUGUAAGCCGUUGAAGGUGGCCUGUGAGGGUUGCUGGAGGUAUCAGAAGUGCGAAUGCUGACAUAAGUAACGAUAAAGCGGGUGAAAAGCCCGCUCGCCGGAAGACCAAGGGUUCCUGUCCAACGUUAAUCGGGGCAGGGUGAGUCGACCCCUAAGGCGAGGCCGAAAGGCGUAGUCGAUGGGAAACAGGUUAAUAUUCCUGUACUUGGUGUUACUGCGAAGGGGGGACGGAGAAGGCUAUGUUAGCCGGGCGACGGUUGUCCCGGUUUAAGCAUGUAGGCGGAGGUUCCAGGUAAAUCCGGUACCUUUUAACGCUGAGGUGUGAUGACGAGGCACUACGGUGCUGAAGUAACAAAUGCCCUGCUUCCAGGAAAAGCCUCUAAGCAUCAGGUAACACGAAAUCGUACCCCAAACCGACACAGGUGGUCAGGUAGAGAAUACCAAGGCGCUUGAGAGAACUCGGGUGAAGGAACUAGGCAAAAUGGUGCCGUAACUUCGGGAGAAGGCACGCUGAUAUGUAGGUGAAGCCCCUGCGGGUGGAGCUGAAAUCAGUCGAAGAUACCAGCUGGCUGCAACUGUUUAUUAAAAACACAGCACUGUGCAAACACGAAAGUGGACGUAUACGGUGUGACGCCUGCCCGGUGCCGGAAGGUUAAUUGAUGGGGUUAGCGGCAACGCGAAGCUCUUGAUCGAAGCCCCGGUAAACGGCGGCCGUAACUAUAACGGUCCUAAGGUAGCGAAAUUCCUUGUCGGGUAAGUUCCGACCUGCACGAAUGGCGUAAUGAUGGCCAGGCUGUCUCCACCCGAGACUCAGUGAAAUUGAACUCGCUGUGAAGAUGCAGUGUACCCGCGGCAAGACGGAAAGACCCCGUGAACCUUUACUAUAGCUUGACACUGAACACUGGUCCUUGAUGUGUAGGAUAGGUGGGAGGCUUUGAAGCGUGGACGCCAGUCUGCGUGGAGCCGUCCUUGAAAUACCACCCUUUAAUGGCUGGUGUUCUAACGUAGACCCGUAAUCCGGGUUGCGGACAGUGUCUGGUGGGUAGUUUGACUGGGGCGGUCUCCUCCCAAAGAGUAACGGAGGAGCACGAAGGUUAGCUAAUCCUGGUCGGACAUCAGGAGGUUAGUGCAAUGGCAUAAGCUAGCUUGACUGCGAGAGUGACGGCUCGAGCAGGUGCGAAAGCAGGUCAUAGUGAUCCGGUGGUUCUGAAUGGAAGGGCCAUCGCUCAACGGAUAAAAGGUACUCCGGGGAUAACAGGCUGAUACCGCCCAAGAGUUCAUAUCGACGGCGGUGUUUGGCACCUCGAUGUCGGCUCAUCACAUCCUGGGGCUGAAGUAGGUCCCAAGGGUAUGGCUGUUCGCCAUUUAAAGUGGUACGCGAGCUGGGUUUAGAACGUCGUGAGACAGUUCGGUCCCUAUCUGCCGUGGGCGCUGGAGAAUUGAGGGGGGCUGCUCCUAGUACGAGAGGACCGGAGUGGACGCAUCACUGGUGUUCGGGUUGUCAUGCCAAUGGCACUGCCCGGUAGCUAAAUGCGGAAGAGAUAAGUGCUGAAAGCAUCUAAGCACGAAACUUGCCCCGAGAUGAGUUCUCCCUGAGACUUAAAGUCUCCUGAAGGAACGUUAAAGACGAUGACGUUGAUAGGUCGGGUGUGUAAGCGCAGCGAUGCGUUGAGCUAACCGAUACUAAUGAACCGUGAGGCUUAACCUUACAACGCCGAAG
rnacentral:rRNA from 1 species